rnacentral:rRNA from 1 species
GGCCAGACUCCUACGGGAGGCAGCAGUGGGGAAUAUUGCACAAUGGGCGAAAGCCUGAUGCAGCAACGCCGCGUGAAGGAAGAAGGCCUUCGGGUCGUAAACUUCUGUCCUUGGGGAAGAAGAACUGACGGUACCCAAGGAGGAAGCCCCAGCUAACUACGUGCCAGCAGCCGCGGUAAUACGUAGGGGGCAAGCGUUAUCCGGAUUUACUGGGUGUAAAGGGGGCGCAGACGGCGAUGCAAGCCAGGAGUGAAAGCCCGGGGCCCAACCCCGGGACUGCUCUUGGAACUGCGUGGCUAGAGUGCAGGAGGGGCAGGCGGAAUUCCUGGUGUAGCGGUGAAAUGCGUAGAUAUCAGGAGGAACACCGGUGGCGAAGGCGGCCUGCUGGACUGCAACUGACGUUGAGGCCCGAAAGCGUGGGGAGCAAACAGGAUUAGAUACCCCCGUAC